GGGGAAUAUUGCACAAUGGGGGAAACCCUGAUGCAGCAACGCCGCGUGAAGGAUGAAGGUUUUCGGAUUGUAAACUUCUUUAGUCAGGGACGAAUAAAUGACGGUACCUGAAGAAUAAGCCACGGCUAACUACGUGCCAGCAGCCGCGGUCAUACGUAGGGUGCAAGCAUUAUCCGGAGUGACUGGGCGUAAAGAGUUGCGUAGGCGGUUAGUAAAGCGAAUAGUGAAACCUGGUGGCUCAACCAUACAGACUAUUAUUCGAACUCACUAACUCGAGAAUGGUAGAGGUAACUGGAAUUUCUAGUGUAGGAGUGAAAUCCGUAGAUAUUAGAAGGAACACCAAUGGCGUAGGCAGGUUACUGGACCAUUUCUGACGCUAAGGCACGAAAGCGUGGGGAGCGAACC
rnacentral:rRNA from 1 species